GGAUGUGAGGGUGAUCUGGCUGCAAUAUCUGUCACCCCAUUGCUCGCCAGGGUUGAUUCGGCUGAUCUGGCUGGCAAGGUGGGUGUCCCCUUCCUCCCUCACUGCUCCAUAUGUGUCCCUCCUGAAGCUGUGCGCUUGGUCCAAGAGGAAGGCCUUCCCCAAAUAGAGACGGACUGGUCUUGGGUCAAGGGUAUGCGAGUAGCUGCGCUCCCCUGCUAGAACCUCCAAACAAGCUCUCAAGUACCUUGAUAUAUUGUAGGUUUUAUUAUAAACAAAUUUGGUUCCUCUAGUCUUU
ensembl:misc_RNA 7SK 7SK RNA